rnacentral:rRNA from 1 species
AGUGGAAGCGUCUGGAAAGGUGCGCGAUACAGGGUGACAGCCCCGUACACAAAAGCGCAUGUGCUGUGAGCUCGAUGAGUAGGGCGGGACACGUGGUAUCCUGUCUGAAUAUGGGGGGACCAUCCUCCAAGGCUAAAUACUCCUGACUGACCGAUAGUGAACCAGUACCGUGAGGGAAAGGCGAAAAGAACCCCGGCGAGGGGAGUGAAAAAGAACCUGAAACCGUGUACGUACAAGCAGUGGGAGCACAGGUUUACCUGUGUGACUGCGUACCUUUUGUAUAAUGGGUCAGCGACUUAUAUUCUGUAGCAAGGUUAACCGUAUAGGGGAGCCG